GACGAACGCUGGCGGCGUGCUUAACACAUGCAAGUCGAGCGGAAAGGCCCUUCGGGGUACUCGAGCGGCGAACGGGUGAGUAACACGUGAGUAAUCUGCCCUGCACUCUGGGAUAGCCCUGGGAAACUGAGAUUAAUACCGGAUAUGUUCACUUCCCGCAUGGGAAGGUGGUGGAAAGUUUUUCGGUGCAGGAUGUGCUCGCGGCCUAUCAGCUUGUUGGUGGGGUAAUGGCCUACCAAGGCUGCGACGGGUAGCCGGCCUGAGAGGGUGACCGGCCACACUGGGACUGAGACACGGCCCAGACUCCUACGGGAGGCAGCAGUGGGGAAUAUUGGACAAUGGGCGGAAGCCUGAUCCAGCAACGCCGCGUGAGGGAUGACGGCCUUCGGGUUGUAAACCUCUUUCAGCACAGACGAAGCGCAAGUGACGGUAUGUGCAGAAGAAGGACCGGCCAACUACGUGCCAGCCGCCGCCGUAA
rnacentral:rRNA from 1 species